CAUUAGAUGGCUGAAAGUAAGUGCUGGUCUCUUAAACCAUUUUAUAGUAAUAUAACAAUUACUUCUAAUGA
rnacentral:tRNA from 1 species